ensembl:snRNA U1 U1 spliceosomal RNA
AUUCCUACUGGCAGGAGAGGUACUAUGAUCAUGAAGGUCCUUUUCCCAGGGUGAGGCGUAUCCAUUGCACUCCGGAUGUGCUGACUCCUGUGAUUUCCCCAAAUGUGAGAAACUUAACAGCAUCAUUUGUGGUAGUAGUAGGGGACAGCAUUUGAGUCCUCCCCUG